ensembl:misc_RNA
GGGGAAGAAGACCAAUGUUACAGGGUUAUCUCACGACUUCAGAUGCUGGAUAAGUCCAAGGAGACAGAAUCGCUUCUGCAUGACAUUCAGAAAAGCUAGACUGAUUAUUUGGAAGAGAGAAAGCCCGCCUAUUCUUUCCAAGGUAAACAGUUCAUUUCAUCUGUC